rnacentral:rRNA from 1 species
AGUGAACGCUGGCGGUAGGCCUAACACAUGCAAGUCGAACGGCAGCACAGUAAGAGCUUGCUCUUACGGGUGGCGAGUGGCGGACGGGUGAGGAAUACAUCGGAAUCUACUUUUUCGUGGGGGAUAACGUAGGGAAACUUACGCUAAUACCGCAUACGACCUACGGGUGAAAGCAGGGGAUCUUCGGACCUUGCGCGAUUGAAUGAGCCGAUGUCGGAUUAGCUAGUUGGCGGGGUAAAGGCCUACCAAGGCGACGAUCCGUAGCUGGUCUGAGAGGAUGAUCAGCCACACUGGAACUGAGACACGGUCCAGACUCCUACGGGAGGCAGCAGUGGGGAAUAUUGAACAAUGGGCCCAAGCCUGAUCCAGCCAUACCGCGUGGGUGAAGAAGGCCUUCGGGUUGUAAAGCCCUUUUGUUGGGAAAGAAAAGCAGCAGGUUAAUACCCCGCUGUUCUGACGGUACCCAAAGAAUAAGCACCGGCUAACUUCGUG